rnacentral:lncRNA from 1 species
AUGGGACCAGGUGAACCAGGGGGACCAGGUGAACCAGGUGAACCAGGGGGACCAGGCGAACCAGGGGUACCAGGUGAACCAGGUGAACCAGGGGGACCAUGUGAACCAGGGGGACCAGGUGAACCAGGUGAACCAGGGGGACCAGGUGAACCAGGUGAACCAGGGAUUUGGACAUUGUUUUGCGUUUUAACGGGUAAAGGUUUGGACUUAAUGUUUCAUAAAAGUAAAUUAUUUUUAACUUUAUAUCUCAUGACAAAAAAUGUUUACUUAUCUAAUUUAAAGAAUAUAUAAUAAAGAUAAUUUGGACUUUUAAAUAGAAUAAUAUUAACAUAAUUCUGAUAUUGAGCUGGUUCUGAGAUAUUUCUGAGAUAAUAUGUCAAUAAUGUUUUUAGCAGCAUCUAGUGGCCUUUAGAGGAACUGGGAGCACCGGGGCUGAUGGGAAAUGUAGUCCUAUAAUGUGGAAAAACAGAAGUCUGCGUGUGUCUGAGAGCUGAUUGUGGUUAUGUUAACAGUCCAACAAAACGUGACAUCAUUAAAGUUUCAAACAGGAAGAAAAAAAGUACAUCUGUUCUCUGAGCUUUUCAAAGUAAAAGAGGCAGCAGGGACGAUGGGAUUCAACCCAAAAACUCUGAUGCUCACUGACAUCAGAGCCUCUGACAUCAAUGUAAAGCAGAUUCUCAUUUAACAUGCGAGUUGCUUUCAAAAUAGUUUGACAAGCUCAAUUAAAGGUAGAAGAUUCGGACGUCUAUGACUGAAUCCGUCUCUCUGAGUGGAGCUGUGUGUUGAGUUGUGAUGGCUUUUAUUGCUAAAGGCUCGAGGUGAGAUCAAAGCCACAGUACAGUAACGACCUGUCUGUCUGACACACAGGAUAUGUGUACAUGUCAGGACUGUGUUACCUUUGUGAGUAUUAACAGGUUGGUUUGUGCCAAAAUAAAAUGCAUUCAUCAUCUGUUUACCUGCUAAAAUCAGAAGAAUCUGUCACAGUUAAAACAUCUCACUGAACUAGAGCUGCAACUAUCGAUUAUAUUCGUUAUCCAUUAAUCUGCUGAUUAUAUUUUAGAUUCGUCGUUUGGUCUACGUCCUGUUUUGUUAAUCCAAACUCCAAAGAUAUUUAGUUUAAUAUGAUGCAACAUAGAGAAAAACAGGAAGCAUUUUCUGCCAUUUUUGAGCCUCUACUUAAUUACCUUUUAUUUAUGUUUUGAAAUAGUUUCGUAUUCUUACCUUUUUCUACACCAACUUGUUUUAUAUGUUUUCUUUGAAACAUGAUGAUUUAUGACUAUUAUGUUUUUAUUUUGCUGUCUUUGUGAAGCACUUAGUAACUUGGAUUUUAAAAAGUGCUCUA